GAUGAACGCUGGCGGCGUGCCUAAUACAUGCAAGUCGAGCGAACAGACGAGGAGCUUGCUCCUCUGACGUUAGCGGCGGACGGGUGAGUAACACGUGAAUAACCUACCUAUAAGACUGGGAUAACUUCGGGAAACCGGAGCUAAUACCGGAUAAUAUAUUGAACCGCAUGGUUCAAUAGUGAAAGACGGUUUUGCUGUCACUUAUAGAUGGAUCCGCGCCGCAUUAGCUAGUUGGUAAGGUAACGGCUUACCAAGGCAACGAUGCGUAGCCGACCUGAGAGGGUGAUCGGCCACACUGGAACUGAGACACGGUCCAGACUCCUACGGGAGGCAGCAGUAGGGAAUCUUCCGCAAUGGGCGAAAGCCUGACGGAGCAACGCCGCGUGAGUGAUGAAGGUCUUCGGAUCGUAAAACUCUGUUAUUAGGGAAGAACAAAUGUGUUAGUAACUAUGCACGUCUUGACGGUACCUAAUCAGAAAGCCACGGCUAACUACGUG
rnacentral:rRNA from 1 species